rnacentral:rRNA from 1 species
UGAGUAACCUGCCCUUAACUCUGGGAUAAGCCUGGGAAACUGGGUCUAAUACUGGAUAUGACUCCUCAUCGCAUGGUGGGGGGUGGAAAGCUUUAUUGUGGUUUGAUGGACUCGCGGCCUAUCAGCUUGUUGGUGAGGUAAUGGCUCACCAAGGCGACGACGGGUAGCCGGCCUGAGAGGGUGACCGGCCACACUGGGACUGAGACACGGCCCAGACCUCCGUACGGGAGCAG